AGUGGGGAAUAUUGCACAAUGGAGGAAACUCUGAUGCAGCAACGCCGCGUGGAGGAUGACGCAUUUCGGUGUGUAAACUCCUUUUAUAUGGGAAGAUAAUGACGGUACCAUAUGAAUAAGCACCGGCUAACUCCGUGCCAGCAGCCGCGGUAAUACGGAGGGUGCAAGCGUUACUCGGAAUCACUGGGCGUAAAGCGCGCGCAGGCGGACUAAUAAGCUAGAAGUGAAAUGCUGUGGCUCAACCAUAGAACUGCUUCUAGAACUGUUAGUCUAGAGUCUGGGAGGGGAAGAUGGAAUUAGUUGUGUAGGGGUAAAAUCCGUAGAGAUAACUAGGAAUACCAAAAGCGAAGGCGAUCUUCUGGAACAGUACUGACGCUGAGGCGCGAAAGCGUGGGGAGCAAACAGGAUUAGAUACCCUGGUAGUCCACGCCCUAAACGAUGAAUGUUAGUCGUUGGAUAGCUAGUCUAUUCAGUGAUGCAGUUAACACAUUAAACAUUCCGCCUGGGGAGUACGGUCGCAAGAUUAAAACUCAAAGGAAUAGACGGGGACCCGCACAAGUGGUGGAGCAUGUGGUUUAAUUCGAAGAUACGCGAAGAACCUUACCUAGCCUUGACAUUGAUAGAACACUUUAGAGAUAGAGUGGUGCCCUUCGGGGAACUUGAAAACAGGUGCUGCACGGCUGUCGUCAGCUCGUGUCGUGAGAUGUUGGGUUAAGUCCCGCAACGAGCGCAACCCUCGUGACUAGUUACUAACGGUUCGGCCGAGGACUCUAGUCAGACUGCCUUCGCAAGGAGGAGGAAGGUGAGGACGACGUCAAGUCAUCAUGGCCCUUACGGCUAGGGCGACACACGUGCUACAAUGGGUAGGACAAUGAGAAGCGAUACCGCGAGGUGGAGCAAAUCUAUAAACCUACUCUCAGUUCGGAUAGCAGUCUGCAACUCGACUGCUUGAAGCUGGAAUCACUAGUAAUCGUAGAUCAGCCAUGCUACGGUGAAUACGU
rnacentral:rRNA from 1 species